GCCAGUGUGGCAUAGUGGUUUGAGCACUGGACUAUGACGACUCUGGAGCACAGGGUUCGAAUGCCUGCUCAACCA